rnacentral:misc_RNA from 1 species
CUGCUCGCUGUGAUUUAACUGUGACCUCCCGUCCUGUUCCCAGAUGGACACACCUGUGCACGAGUGCGGUGCGGCCUACCAGGCCGUGCACUGAACCUCAAUCUACCCCUUCGUGACCUCCGUCUACUGCACCGACUCGCUGCCUCUCUUCCUUGCCCGUGCCUCCUCUUUUUCGCCCCUGCCUCCUCAGCCAAGUGAUGCCUACGACGGACUCCACGGCCUCGUUGUGACUGCGCCGCUCUCUGUCGUUGUUCGACGUCUGCUUGCCUCCCUUCCUUUUCAUUGGAAUCGUCGGUCUCUCUCUCAGCGCACGUGUGUGUGUGUUUCGUCUCUCUAGCGCCACCGCGGGCCCGUCCCGUUUUGCUGCGAUCCUCGUCGGUCUCUAUCCGAAGUCUCACCUCGCCGCCCUGCAUCCCUGCGUUGCGCGCUCUCUCUGUUUUUCGUUUCUGUUUCGCUUGCUCAUCCGCGAUGAUGAGAGGACACACACCUCAGCUCAGUGCGUCGUCUCACAGGGGGUAGCACACCCCACUCUGAGUGUGGGGAGCGAUCCAAGCAGCGACCCUCCUCCCCUCUAUCCCUCUGCCAAGUGCCGCGUCACUUCUGGCGGCGGCAGGGCCAGGUGCCCAGGCCGCAGAGAUGUCAGAGCGGCGCAUCGCUGCUGGUGUUGUGCGCGGGAGAGCGCUGCGGCAGUGCACACGCUUGCGCCAUCCAUGUGAUGGGCGGAGCGUCAUGCGGACUCGAGUGCAUUCCGCGUCCAGCCCUCACACUGCCCACUGGUGGAGGAGCCUGGGCCGCCCCGGAGGGAUCGCACCAGGUGGCGGCCGGCGAGGCGGGUGGGUAGAGCUCGAGGCAGGGGCCCAGCUGAGAUGAGGGAGCCAGCGCACUGCUGCAACGAGUGUCUGGGGCUGCUUUACACCGCGCGGAUGGGCCUGUGACGCGCCGGGUGUAGGGCGGAGUUGCGCCCGUGUUUUGUGGCAGCGGCACGAACGCGUUGCAGCAAAUAGAAUGCGCAUGACACUCUCCGCGGCACCGUGUAGUUGUGUCGACUGCUCGACUUCGCGCACUAGAACACCCAUCUUGGUCUACCGAGCACGCUGACAAGCAGCGUAUCACGGUCUUCUCGGUCGCUAGAGGGCGGCGGGAAGUUGCCGACCGUCCUGAAGUCUCGGGGUAUGUGUGAGUAGGGCAUGCGCAAAGCAUGUGGUGAAGCCGGGCGACUGGUGCUGCGCGAAGGGCGGAGCAGUUGAUCUGCAACGCAGAUGACCGGAGAGGGCGUGGAGGAGCAGAUAUGCGCGUCGUGCUUUCUGCAUUUCACGAAGCUCGACUGAGCCUCUGCAUGUGGCUUCCUCUUCCCUCUCACUCUCUCCAUUUGAUGCUCUGUGCGUGUGGCGACGCCAUCCCUUUUCUGUAGCUGCCACGACUGUACGCGUGCUACAUCGCCGGCGCUGCUUUUUUGUGCCUUUCCGCCUCUUUCCGCUGCCGCCUUAGCUCUCGUCCCUCCUCCUUGUGGAGCGUUUUUUUUUCUAUUACGGAUCUGUGCGAUCCGGCGAGGAGCUUGUCUUCUCUCCGGUUGCCAUUUCCGGUGUUCUGUCGGUUCAACUCCUCUUCAUGCAUGGCACUUACUCUGUUCAGAGUUGUUAGCCCUCACCUUCCCUUACCGUCAGUGGUAUCUCCGGACUGUGCGAGUGGUGUAAAGCAUAAGGGUGGCAUCACCCGCAACGCAAUGGACGGCUGUUGCUUCUCUGUUUUGCUUUUCUGCUGUGCGGGGAGGGAGUUGGACUUCUGCUUCGUGAGCGCCCGUCUACACGUGUGCCUCCGAGGCCGUUGCGGCCAGCCAGCGGAUUAGCUCUCUGCGUCCAUUCCCGCCGCUGUUACUGCUUCUGCGCGCAAGGGUAGUAUCUUUUCCACGCAAUCCCGUGAAUAUCCUUCGGCGUUGUUUCUCCUUCAAUUCUUUGGAGUGCUCGGCACCGGCGCACACAUAUACCCGCGCACUGUACAGCGCAGUAGUGUGCCGCCUUGCCCCAGCGCAGGACUGGGCGAUGGUGCGCUUCGCUCGAGGAAGAGAAAUCGAGCACCUCGUCCCUCCUCUUCUCCACGCUCACCCGCAGCGAUGGGGUUAUGCGGAAGGAGCGUCUUUACGGAUGCGAGGGAGUGGAUGUUGUUGCCGCGCUGUGCGUGGGAUGGCCUCUAUCCGAGUCCAGAUCUUCGCUCGUUCAUUUCUUUUUCGUCUGCUUGUCUCCGCGUCAUGCCGGUCUGUUUCUUCUCUCAG